rnacentral:rRNA from 1 species
AUUGAACGCUGGCGGCAGGCCUAACACAUGCAAGUCGAACGAGUGGCGGACGGGUGAGUAAUGUCUGGGCAACUGCCUGAUGGAGGGGGAUAACUACUGGAAACGGUAGCUAAUACCGCAUACCAUCAGAUGUGCCCAGAUGGGAUUAGCGAGUUGGUGGGGUAACGGCUCACCAAGGCGACGAUCCCUCGCUGGUCGGAGAGGAUGACCAGCGACCCGGGAACGGAGACACGGUCCAGAGUCCUACGGGAGGGAGCAGUGGGGAAUGGUGCGCAGUGGGCGCAAGCCUGAUGCAGCCAUGGCGCGUGUAUGAAAAAGGCCUUCGGGUUGUAAAGUACUUUCAGCGGGUAGGCGUUACCCGCAGAAGAAGCACCGGCUAACUCCGUGCCAGCAGCCGCGGUAAUUC